UGUCUGAAAAGACAGUACGGCGAGCUACCAUCUGCUGGAUUACGGCUGACGCCUCUAAGCCGGAAUCCAUGCUGGAUAAGCAGUGUUGUACACCGUGCUCAAUGCUACAAGAAAAAGGCUAGGUCAGGCUUCGGCCUGACCAAAAUUCAAGCUGCUAUACCUCUGGCUGCAUUGACUUGUGGUCAGAGUGUAUGGUGAUCAUAGCAAUUGCAAGUAUUGGGCUCGAUAAAUCCUUUGAAGACGACUUAAUUGCAUCCGGGUAUUGUAAGUGUUGAGAGUAGGCUUAGUCUUACGAUCCACUGAGAUUCAUCCCGUGUUGCGCCGAUUUGU
rnacentral:ncRNA from 1 species